AACGAACGCUGGCGGCAUGCCUAACACAUGCAAGUCGAACGAGACCUUCGGGUCUAGUGGCGCACGGGUGCGUAACGCGUGGGAACCUGCCCUUAGGUUCGGAAUAACUCCCCGAAAGGGGUGCUAAUACCGGAUAAUGUCUUCGGACCAAAGAUUUAUCGCCUUUGGAUGGGCCCGCGUUGGAUUAGCUAGUUGGUAGGGUAAAAGCCUACCAAGGCGACGAUCCAUAGCUGGUCUGAGAGGAUGAUCAGCCACACUGGGACUGAGACACGGCCCAGACUCCUACGGGAGGCAGCAGUGGGGAAUAUUGGACAAUGGGCGAAAGCCUGAUCCAGCAAUGCCGCGUGAGUGAUGAAGGCCUUAGGGUUGUAAAGCUCUUUUAACCGGGAUGAUAAUGACAGUACCGUGAGAAUAAGCUCCGGCUAACUCCGUG
rnacentral:rRNA from 1 species